AAAAUGCAAACUGCAAAAAUCAUGUAAGUAUUGUUUCAGCCACUAAUUCCAAACCCCAGAUCUAAACCUAAAAACAAAAUAAACUUAGUCCUGUAUCAUCUCUUCCACAACAGAUCUCGAUAAUCCCCUCCAACCCUAUCGCCUUCGCCCUCGCCCACCAUCUCUCCCGUAACCCAACACCGGUAAUCGUUCCUUCCUUCACGUCACUAAGGUUACGUUAAUUUCACUAAUCCUCUGGAUGUUUAGUUUUUUUCUUCUUUUAAACUAGUAUUUUUUUAAUUCAAACUCAAUGCUUCGUGUGAAUAAGAUUAUGGUUAAUUAAAGAGUUUUGAUUUGUGCUUGUUUUGUUUAUUCAGUGACAUUAGAUGUGUUAAUGGAAAACGAUGUUGAAUGUAAGGGUUAAAACCUUGGAAACUCUUGGAGUGAGAUUGAUGAAGUUAGUUGGAGUAUAAAACUUUCAAUUUAUUAUUAUGUAGAUGCCCUGUUUUCUCUCCAUGGCGAUUAGAGGCUAUUGGUACUUUAUUGGUGACGAGCUUAGUUGGGUGAUUUCUCAUAUGUUAGUUUGAUGAAAAAGGGAAUGACAAUAAUCAAUUUCUUUGACAUAUGCAUUAUUAUGAGAUAAAGAAGACAAAGUCUCAAGCUUUGUGUUAUAGAAGGUCUUAUUCAUUUUAUACUUAGAGUGUGCUACUAAUUUUUAUGCUAGGUAAAUGGUCACUUUGGUUGAAAUCUAACUCAGGAAGAUAUCAAGACAUUCAUAUUCACAUGUGAUUUAUUAGGGAAGCUUCCUGAGAGUUGAAAAAUAUGUCAAACGAAGGAGAAACAACCAUGUUAAAGCUUCGGACUACAAAUGACUACAAAUGAUAUUGGAGAAAUGUACCUAUAAAUAUAUCAGAAUACAAGAAAGCUUGGACAAAACAAAUUUGUUAAGAUUUCAUAAGGAGGAAUACAAGUUAGGGAUGUUGUUAGGAAGUUGGUUUAUCGUAUAUUUAGUUUUUAUAGAGUUUAGUUUUAUACACUGUAUUAUAUUUAGUGGAAUUCUUUAAAUUAAAUAAUAUAUAAAUCUUAUUAUUACUUUCUUAUAAA